CCCUUAGAUGUUCUGGGCCGCACGCGCGCUACACUGAUGCAUUCAACGAGUCUAAAACCUGCUCUGAUAGGGGUGGGUAAUCUUUUGAAUGUGCAUCGUGAUUGGGAUAGAUGAUUGCAAUUUUUCAUCUUCAACGAGGAAUGCCUAGUAAACGCAAGUCAUCAGCUUGCAUUGAUUACGUCCCUGCCCUUUGUACACACCGCCCGUCGCUCCUACCGAUUGAAUGAUCCGAUGAAUAUCAUGGAUUGAGGAUUAUAGCAGGUUCGCCUGUCUUGAUCUUCGAGAAGGGAAGUAAAUCUUAUCAUUUAGAGGAAGGAGAAGUCGUAACA
rnacentral:rRNA from 1 species